GACGAACGCUGGCGGCGUGCUUAACACAUGCAAGUCGAACGGAAAGGCCCUGCUGUUGUGGGGUGCUCGAGUGGCGAACGGGUGAGUAACACGUGAGUAACCUGCCCUUGACUUGGGGAUAACUUCAGGAAACUGGGGCUAAUACCGGAUAGGAGCCGCAGUUGCAUGGAGGGGGUUGGAAAGUUUAGGCGGUUGGGGCUGGUCUGUCGGCUUAUCAGCUUGUUGGGGGGGUAGCGGCUUACCAAGGCUUUGACGGGUAGCCGGGCUGAGAGGGUGAGCGGCCACAUUGGGACAGAGAGACGGCCCAGACUCCUACGGGAGGGAGCAGUGGGGAAUAUUGCAGAAUGGGCGGAAGCCUGAUGCAGCAACGCCGCGUGCGGGAUGACGGCCUUCGGGUUGUAAACCGCUUUCGCCUGUGACGAAGCGUGAGUGACGGUAAUGGGUAAAGAAGCACCGGCUAACUACGUG
rnacentral:rRNA from 1 species